rnacentral:misc_RNA from 1 species
CCUAGAGUUGUAGGCUUUGCCUGCUAUCUCUUACCUAUGUCUUUUGAGUACCUUACGUUUCCUCGGCGGGUCCGCCCGCCGAUUGGACAAUUUAAACCAUUUGCAGUUGCAAUCAGCGUCUGAAAAACUUAAUAGUUA